CUGAAACCCAGAUCCGAAAAGUAGAAAAUCAGAAACACGCACCAAACCCAAAUCUGAAUCACACAUCCCUUCCCCUCCAUCUUCUUCGUCAUUCUUUUUUCUCACGCUCUCAUAUCCCGCUCCAUUGCCUCUUAAAUCCAAUCCAGGCCCAAAAACCCUAAUACCCAAAACACAAAUCCUAACCCCUCAGCUCCAAUACCCACAUCUCUUAUGCUCUGUUCUCGAUUUUGUACUUUUAUGUUAUGUGUUUGUGUGAAUUGACGACUGUCUUAAUUUUUAUGAGGUUUGAGUUGAUUUUUCGAUCCAUGAUAGAUUUCCAAAUGCCCGGGUAGAAAUUUUGGUUUCCAAAUCGGCAAGCUGAGCAUGAAUCUUAUUUUUAGUUCAUCCUCGCGACUUUGCUUUGCCUCGUUUUGAAAGGUUCAGCAAAUAAUUGCUAGUUGUAGAGGUUUUGGUUUCCGGUGCAUUUGGUUAAACUGGGUUAGGGAUUGUGGAAUUUGGGUGGUAAUGCUGCUCAGUGCUCACUCUCAGAUCCUUUCAUUAAGAAUGAAGCAAGGAAAUGGCACUUGAAGGCUCAUCUUGCUCCCACCAUUGAAAAAGGAUUAGACUUUUUGUGAUCUACCAAGGAGGGGACCUGGAAAGUUGGUAGCUUUUAGUGUUUCAUAUGUGUGGAUUUUAAAAUUAAGCUGCUUACUGUUGGUGGGAAGAGAAUUAAGAUGACAAUUUGGGAUACAUGUACUGCAUGUGGAACUGGUGUAUUCUUUCGUUCUAUGAUGCAAUUUUGAUUAUGGCCCAUUCUACAUUGGAUGAUGGGAAAAGAGUAUAACUCUCUGGACAGGAGAGGUUCAUAACAUUAACAAGCUCUUACUAUAGAAGUGCCCAAGGAAUCAUUCUCGUUUAUGAUGUGACUCGGAGAGACACCUUUACCAACUUAUCAGAUGUAUGGGCUAAAGAAGUGGAAUUAUACUCAACCAAUCAGGACUGUGUCCAGGUGCUUGUCGGGAAUAAAGUUGAUAGAGAAUCUGAGAGGGCUGUGAGUAGAGAAGAGGGCAUUGCUCUUGCAAAAGAUAUUGGAUGCAUGUUUCUUGAAUGUAGCGCCAAGACUAGAGAAAAUGUGGAGCUUUGCUUUCAAGAGCUAGCAUUAAAGGUACUUCGAGGGGAUCUUGGGAGUAGAUGAGUUUGGACGAUUCUCCCCACACCAAAAUACACUCACCCCAAGCUUCAGUGAUUUGCAGUUUUACUAAUUUUUGUUCUGGUGUCUCUACUUGUGUAUAUGUAUCUUGAUUUUGCUAAUCUUGUUAUAGCUUAGUAGCAUCAAUUUUUUAUGUACACUUUUUUUUUUGGUCUGUAUGUACAGUUGAACUAAUUGUUUUUAAUUCAAGGAAUAAAAAAAAUUCCAGAAUGACA